rnacentral:rRNA from 1 species
AAUCAACGCUGGCGGCGUGCCUAACACAUGCAAGUCGCACGAGAAAGGGACUUCGGUCCUGAGUACAGUGGCGCACGGGUGAGUAACACGUGAAUGAUCUACCUUCGAGUGGGGAAUAACUGAGAGAAAUCUUAGCUAAUACCGCAUAAUACCUACGGGUCAAAGCAGCAAUGCGCUUGAAGAGGAGUUCGCGGCAGAUUAGUUAGUUGGCAGGGGUAAUGGCCUACCAAGACGAUGAUCUGUAUCCGGCCUGAGAGGGCGCACGGACACACUGGAACUGAAACACGGUCCAGACUCCUACGGGAGGCAGCAGUGGGGAAUUUUGCGCAAUGGGGGAAACCCUGACGCAGCAACGCCGCGUGGAGGAUGAAAUCCCUUGGGAUGUAAACUCCUUUCGAUCGGGAAGAU